rnacentral:rRNA from 1 species
UACGUAGGGACCAAGCGUUGUUCGGAUUUACUGGGCGUAAAGGGCGCGUAGGCGGCAAUUCAAGUCACUUGUGAAAUCUCUGAGCUUAACUCAGAACGGUCAAGUGAUACUGCUUUGCUAGAGUGCAGAAGGGGCAACCGGAAUUCUUGGUGUAGCGGUGAAAUGCGUAGAUAUCAGGAGGAACACCUAUAGCGAAGGCAGCUUGCUGGGACGUUACUGACGCUAAGGCGCGAAAGCGUGGGGAGCGAACAGG